GAUGAACGCUGGCGGCGUGCCUAAUACAUGCAAGUCGAGCGAACAGACGAGGAGCUUGCUCCUCUGACGUUAGCGGCGGACGGGUGAGUAACACGUGGAUAACCUACCUAUAAGACUGGGAUAACUUCGGGAAACCGGAGCUAAUACCGGAUAAUAUAUUGAACCGCAUGGUUCAAUAGUGAAAGACGGUUUUGCUGUCACUUAUAGAUGGAUCCGCGCCGCAUUAGCUAAUUGGUAAGGUAACGGCUUACCAAGGCGACGAUGCGUAGCCGACCUGAGAGGCGGGUCGGCCACACUGAAACUGAGACACGAUCCAGACUCCUACGGGAGGCAGCAGUAGGGAAUCUUCCGCAAUGGGCGAAAGCCUGACGGAGCAACGCCGCGUGAGUGAUGAAGGUCUUCGGAUCGUAAAACUCUGUUAUUAGGGAAGAACAAAUGUGUAAGUAACUAUGCACGUCUUGACGGUACCUAAUCAGAAAGCCACGGCUAACUACGUG
rnacentral:rRNA from 1 species